CCUACGGGCGGCAGCAGUGGGGAAUAUUGCACAAUGGGCGCAAGCCUGAUGCAGCCAUGCCGCGUGUGUGAAGAAGGCCUUCGGGUUGUAAAGCACUUUCAGCGGGGAGGAAGGCGGUGAGGUUAAUAACCUCAUCGAUUGACGUUACCCGCAGAAGAAGCACCGGCUAACUCCGUGCCAGCAGCCGCAGUAAUACGGAGGGUGCAAGCGUUAAUCGGAAUUACUGGUCGUAAAGCGCACGCAGGCGGUCUGUCAAGUCGGAUGUGAAAUCCCCGGGCUCAACCUGGGAACUGCAUUCGAAACUGGCAGGCUAGAGUCUUGUAGAGGGGGGUAGAAUUCCAGGUGUAGCGGUGAAAUGCGUAGAGAUCUGGAGGAAUACCGGUGGCGAAGGCGGCCCCCUGGACAAAGACUGACGCUCAGGUGCGAAAGCGUGGGGAGCAAACAGGAUUAGAUACCCGUGUAGUC
rnacentral:rRNA from 1 species